AGGACGAACGCUGGCGGCGUGCUUAACACAUGCAAGUCGAGCGGUAAGGCCCUUUCGGGGUACACGAGCGGCGAACGGGUGAGUAACACGUGGGUAACCUGCCCUCAGCUCUGGGAUAAGCCCGGGAAACUGGGUCUAAUACCGGAUAUGACUCCGCAUCGCAUGGUGUGGGGUGGAAAGCCUUGUGCGGCUGAGGAUGGGCCCGCGGCCUAUCAGCUUGUUGGUGGGUAGUGGCCUACCAAGGCGACGACGGGUA
rnacentral:rRNA from 1 species